rnacentral:misc_RNA from 1 species
GAUGAAGAACGUAGCGAAAUGCGAUAAGUAAUGUGAAUUGCAGAAUUCAGUGAAUCAUCGAAUCUUUGAACGCACCUUGCGCCCUUUGGCUAUUCCGAAGGGCAUGCCUGUUUGAGUAUCGUGAACACCUCAACUCUCAUGGUUUGCCAUGAUGAGCUUGGACUUUGGGGGUUUUGCUGGCCUUUGGUCGGCUCCUCUCAAACGGAUCAGCUUUCCAGUGUUUGGUGGCGUCACGGGUGUGAUAACUAUCUACGCCUGUGGUUUUCUGCCAGAUAACCUUCAGCGAUGGAGGUUCGCUGGGGCUCAUAAAUGUCUCUCUUCAGUGGAGACAGCUUUUUGGACGUUUGAUCUCAAAUCAGCUAGGACUACCCGCUGAACUUAAGCAUAUCAAUAAGCGGAGGA